UACGUAGGCAGCGAGCGUUGUUCGGAGUUACUGGGCGUAAAGAGUGCGUAGGCGGUUUUCUAAGUUUGGUGUGAAAUCUCCCGGCUUAACUGGGAGGGUGCGCCGAAAACUGGAAGGCUUGAGUAUGGGAGAGGUAAGCGGAAUUCCUGGUGUAGCGGUGAAAUGCGCAGAUAUCAGGAGGAACACCGGUGGCGAAGGCGGGUCUCUGGGGCCGAUACUGACGCUGAGGAGCGAAAGCGUGGGGAGCGAACAGG
rnacentral:rRNA from 1 species